rnacentral:lncRNA from 1 species
UGUAGGUUUUUUGUUUCAUUUUGUUUUGUUUUUCAUGUUGACAUGGACUCUUGGAAAGUUCCCAGGGACUCAAGGUUAUACUGUUUGAUUGGCCUGUCUGGUAUUUAAUGCUAUGAAAAAAAGUGAGAAAGCAUCAAUUUUAGAUAAAUCAUUGGAAUACUCACUGAAGUAAGGGGACCUAAGUUGACUUGAUGUGAUAUAGAUGGAAUUAGCAAGGCAUAUGUAUGUGUUCACUGCAGGUCACUGCAUAGAAGACCAACCAGCUUGCAUUCCGGCUGCUUUGGGAUAAAUUUCCGACUCUGCACAUUAAUUUUCUUUUCUUUCCUGUUUUUUUGUUUUUGUUGGUACCAGGAAUUGAACGCAGGGGUGCUUAACCACUGAGCCAGGUCCCCACCCCUUUUAAAAAAUAUUUUGUUUAGAGACAGUGUCUCACUGAGUUACUAAGUGCCUCACUGAUCUGCUGAGGCCAGCUUUGAACUCAUGAUCCUCCUGCCUUAGCCUCCUGAGUUGCUGGGAUUACAGGUGUGCACCACCAUGCUUGGCUUACACAUUAAUUUUCUAACCAUAAAAUAUGGACUUCAAGGAGAGGUAAAAGCACUGGUUUCUAAGGUCCUGGACUCUAAAAACACAUGGUUAUAGAACAUUUUUGUCAAAUUUGUUACUUUUGUUAUCCUACCUUACUCACUGAAAUUACACAUUUGGAGACUGUUUUGUAAAACUUAUAUUGAAGGCAUUGUUUCUCUGGGAAGAAAUAAUUAAUUAUGACUAUUAACCCUUAGCAGAUGAGUAAUUUAUCAGACAAGAGCCAAGGAAUUCAGCAGUGUGUAAAUAAGUCUUGGAAAGAAUUUGAACAGAUAAAUGAUGCUAGCAGGAAUAAUUAAUCCAAAAUAACUUGUGCCUUAUGUUUCUAGGUGCUAAGGAAGGUAUGAAAGAGAGAGGUGACAUAGGACCAAGGCCAAACAUACUCUAUGGUUUUCCAGAAAGCUUAGUGAUACUGGAAGAAAAUGGAGCUUUUUCUGAAGGAUCCCAAAUGAUGACUCACUUUAAAGCUAUAGUGAUCAGUUUUCACAGGAUUUAUCUGGCUUCUUGGAAGGGCAAAAAUCUUUUUUUUUUUUUUAAGAAGAAAGUACACAAAGAUUUAGAGAUGUGUGCUGCUAUAAACCCAAGAGAGGAAGGAAGUAGAGAAGCAGAGAUGCUUAAGUUUCUGUAAGACAAUCUAUAGGUUCUACAGAUUUGAAAUUUGAAUCCACGUCAAAGGAAGUGAGAAGAAAAUAUUAAGACAGAUAAGCAGAUUAUGCAGAAAAUGAGAAACAAUUCAAAGUGAUACAUUGGUAGAAUAAGAAACCACUCCAGUGGGGAGUCAAAGGGAAGAGGCCGUGGUGAACAGGCUAGGCUUGGUGUUAGAUUGACAGGAAGUGAUACCUUGCUUUCAUCCUCCUGUGUGCAUUUCAGCAAUUGCUUCAUCUCUGCAAGUCUCAAUUUUUUUCUCUGUAAAAUUUGGAUCACCAUCUAAUCCUUGGGGUUGGAGAAUAAAAUAAAU